GCAGCUUUACUACUUUAGUACACAGUAUCACGGGCAAAACCAACUAACAACAGAAAUUUUCUAGACACAACUUGUAUCAACCCCUACCCCGAUCGCUUAUAUAUUCUUUCAUCUUUUCAUAUAAUGAUGUAGAAGACUAGAAAAAUCUGCAUAAAACAAAAGGAAUGACACAAAAAGGUGGACCGCACAUGAUAAAGUAUAUUUAACAAGCACAUCCACUUGGCUGAGGUUGAGACUGCGCACUGCCAGUUGUAGACUUUAAGUUUACAUCAACCAUGUCUUCUUGUUUUGCAGAAGAUAGUGUUUCCAUUCCAGGUAAUGCUGCAGCAAUUUUUCGAAAUAGGGCCUGUACAGAUGUCGAAUAACAGAAUACAUGGUAAGUUAGAAGCAAGAAAAAUAUUAGAACCAUAUAAGGAUCUCAGUUUCUUCCACGAAAGAGAGGGGGAGAGGGAGACCAUGCAGGUUGAAACAAAAUUCACAAAUGCAAGCAAUUUGAAGCAAAUGAUUAGAACGGUAGUAAGUAGUAGACCAUUUCAAUAUUCAAAGGUACUAAGUAGAUCACAUCCAUGACUCAUUUCACUCUGGCCAAAAACGGAGAAUUCAAUGAUAAUGUAUAGA
rnacentral:lncRNA from 1 species